CCUAACACAUGCAAGUCGAACGGUAACAGGAAGAAGCUUGCUUCUUUGCUGACGAGUGGCGGACGGGUGAGUAAUGUCUGGGAAACUGCCUGAUGGAGGGGGAUAACUACUGGAAACGGUAGCUAAUACCGCAUAACGUCGCAAGACCAAAGAGGGGGACCUUCGGGCCUCUUGCCAUCGGAUGUGCCCAGAUGGGAUUAGCUAGUAGGUGGGGUAACGGCUCACCUAGGCGACGAUCCCUAGCUGGUCUGAGAGGAUGACCAGCCACACUGGAACUGAGACACGGUCCAGACUCCUACGGGAGGCAGCAGUGGGGAAUAUUGCACAAUGGGCGCAAGCCUGAUGCAGCCAUGCCGCGUGUAUGAAGAAGGCCUUCGGGUUGUA
rnacentral:rRNA from 1 species